rnacentral:lncRNA from 1 species
GUGAUUUACAGAUAAACUAUGCAAUUAGUUUUUGUUUUCAUCUUCAUGCAUGUGCCGCAAGAUUUGAUAUGACAGAGAAUCUUGAUUUUUUGUUUUUGUUUUUGAGGUGAACGGGCCUGUUUAGAUUGGGAACGAAAAUUUUUUGGGUGUCACAUCGGAUGUGUCGAAAGGAUGUCGGGAGAGGUUUUUAGAAACUAAUAAAAAAACAAAUUACAUAGCUCGUCAGGAAACUGCAAGAUAAAUUUAUUAAGCAUAAUUAAUCUGUCAUUAGCAUAUGUAGGUUACUGUAGCACUUAAGGCUAAUCAUGGAGUAACUAGGCUUAAAAGAUUCGUCUCGCGAUUUUCAAUUAAACUGUGUAAUUAGUUUAUUUUUUAUCUACAUUUAAUGUUCUAUGCACAUGUCCAA